rnacentral:rRNA from 1 species
CCUACGGGUGGCUGCAGUGAGGAAUAUUGGUCAAUGUGCGGGAGCCUGAACCAGCCAAGUCGCGUGAGGGAAGACGGUCCUACGUAUUGUAAACCUCUUUUGCCGGGGAGCAAAGGGGUCCUUGCGAGGGCCCGAGGAGAGUACCCGGAGAAAAAGCAUCGGUCAACUACGUGCCAGCAGCCGCGGCAAUACGGAGGAUGCGAGCUGUAUCCGGCUUUAUUGGGUUAAAAGGGUGCGUAGGCGGGCUGUUAAGUCAGCGGUCAAAUGUCGGGGCUCAACCCCGGCCUGCCGUUGAAACUGGCGGCCUCGAGGGGGUGAGAAGUAUGCGGAAGGCGUGGUGUAGCGGUGAAAUGCAUAGAUAUCACGCAGAACUCCGAUUGCGAAGGCAGCAUACCGGCGCCCGACUGACGCUGAGGCACGAAAGCGUGGGUAUCGAACAGGAUUAGAUACCCCAGUAGUC